UACGAAGGGGGCUAGCGUUGUUCGGAAUUACUGGGCGUAAAGCGCACGUAGGCGGAUAUUUAAGUCAGGGGUGAAAUCCCGGGGCUCAACCCCGGAACUGCCUUUGAUACUGGGUAUCUAGAGUAUGGUAGAGGUGAGUGGAAUUCCGAGUGUAGAGGUGAAAUUCGUAGAUAUUCGGAGGAACACCAGUGGCGAAGGCGGCCAUCUGGGACAACACUGACGCUGAAGCACGAAAGCGUGGGGAGCAAACAGG
rnacentral:rRNA from 1 species